ACACACGGCGGAUCAUAUAGGAUCGAUUGUAAAUUUAUUUCAAAAUUAAAUCAAACGCUGAAUAUUUUCGAGAAGUUUAUUUCACGUUGAUCAUUUUGAUGCAGUCAAUUUAUUUUUUAUGGUAUUUUUAUGCCCGACUUUUAUUUAUUUUGAGUCUUUUUAUUUUUUCAUUUUUAUCAAAGUGUCUAGAAAAAUUAAAUAGAAUUAUUGGUGUUUUAAUUAUAUUUUU
rnacentral:lncRNA from 1 species